AUAAUUAUACAACAUUUAAGGAAUGACUGUAAUAUUUUUUCUGUCUAUGAAGAAAUAACAUAAAAAAUUUGGUGCACAGUGAAUAACGCGCGUAGCGGGUAAUUUACAGUGUGCACCACAUUUUUAAUGUUAUUUCGAAUAGACAGAAAAAAUAUUAAAGUCAUUUCUUAUAAUUUAAUUCUAAAUUCCAUUUUAAACCGUAGAAAACCAUGAAAAAACGUUGAUGACGUCACGGUCACAUGACUAAAUUAUGUCUAUGGGCUCAUAACAAAAUAACGUCAGCCAAUCAGAAGACGCGUUACAUCCGAAAUUAAAUUAUUAACUGGUGUUUCAGUUAACAAUGACACACGAUUAUAAAUUAAAAUGUCUUCGAAAUAAUUUUAUCUGAACAUUUAAUACAACAAAACUGAUAUGCAAAACACAUAUACAGACUGUUUGCACUUAGCCAAGAAAGGCGCUAUUUGAGAUAUGAUAUCAAUGAUUAUCAUUUUUUAAAUUGAAAUUUUUAAUACGCUUACAUGUACGUCAUCUAAAAGUCCUGUGAAUAAUUGAGCGCACAAUUGAUAGAAUUUAAUUAUCUGGUUUGCACAGAUAUAUUUGAAAUGCAGUUGUGCAAAAUUGGAUGCGGCAUAGCUGUAUUACCAACAAUUUUGAUUUUGUAAACUAAUCAAAUUUCGAGAUAUUUUGUGUCUAUAGUAAAAGACAAAAACGUAGUACAUUAUGAGAAAUGAAAUACAAAUGCUACCCAUAAUAACAGAUUUAUUACAUAUAUAUUCAAAUAGUGUUUUAAACUUGCUCACUCAUGUGCAUCCAUCCAUCUACUAUUCACGUUUACUCAACCAUGCAUACAAACAGUUCAGCAGUUAAAAGAUGCUUACAAUACGUGAACCUUUUUUAUUUAGCGCUUUCUUAUGUUAGUACUGUCAUAGUUUUGUUAGUCAAUUUUUAGCUCACCUGGCCCGAAGUGCCAAUUGAGCUCUUCUCAUCACUUUGCAUCCGUCUGUCGUCGUCGUCCUCUGUUAACUUUUACAAUAAUCUUCUCCUCUGAAACUACAGGGCCAAAUUAAUCCAAACUUGGCUACAGUCAUCUUUGGGGUAUCUAGUUUAAAAAAUGUGUCUGAUGACCCGGCCAUUCAACCAAGAUGGCUGCCACGGCUAAAAUACAACAUAGGGGUAAAAUGUAGUUUUUGGCUUAUAACUCAAAAACUAAAGCAUUUACAGCAAAUCUGACGGUGUUAAAUGGUUUAUCAGGUCAAGAUCUA
rnacentral:lncRNA from 1 species